AUGAGACAUCAUACAGCACUCCAGCCAAGGAUGGAGACCACACUUAAUCCUAUGGAAAGCAGUGCGACUAUAUACAUACAAGAGCAAAAUCCACCUGGAAGAAGAAAAAACAAAGUCAAGGUGAAAACAAAAUCUUUCCAACGUCAUUCCUGUGAUGCUUCUCUGUCUUGCACUAAAGUUCUUGCACCUCUGGAUUGAGCUGAAGACCUCAGAUAUCAAGUCUGGUGACUGGAUUAUACUGGAACCCAUGUCUUUCAGAGUACUGAAUGUCACCCUGAAUUUUCAGGCUUUUUAUCUCAUAUCAACAGCAGAACACGAGGGUAUCACAAGCAUAUCCUUUUUGUAGAUUUGUCUGUAAUAAGGGUCCUUAAAACAAAACUAAACGGAUGAAGCUGAUGAUGUCUGUCAGAUCUAGAAAUUACUCUUGCCUGCAGGUCUCAGACAAAAGUUAAGAAAUGAUGACCUAAGAAGAAGGCUGAAAUAAAUGGCUGAAGAAAAGGAGUGCA
rnacentral:lncRNA from 1 species